GAUGAAGAACGCAGCGAAAUGCGAUAAGUAGUGUGAAUUGCAGACUUCAGUGAAUCAUCGAAUCGUUGAACGCACAUUGCGCCCUUUGGUAUUCCAAAGGGCAUGCCUGUUCGAGCGUCAUUUGUACCCUCAAGCUUUGCUUGGUGUUGGGCGUCUUGUCUCUAGCUUUGCUGGAGACUCGCCUUAAAGUAAUUGGCAGCCGGCCUACUGGUUUCGGAGCGCAGCACAAGUCGCACUCUCUAUCAGCAAAGGUCUAGCAUCCAUUAAGCCUUUUUUUCAACUUUUGACCUCGGAUCAGGUAGGGAUACCCGCUGAACUUAAGCAUAUCAAUAAGCGGAGGA
rnacentral:misc_RNA from 1 species